rnacentral:rRNA from 1 species
CGUGCUAAUCUGCGAUAAGCGCCGGUAAGGUGAUAUGAACCGUUAUAACCGGCGAUACCCGAAUGGGGAAACCCAGUGUGACUCGUCACACUAUCAUUAACUGAAUCCAUAGGUUAAUGAGGCGAACCGGGGGAACUGAAACAUCUAAGUACCCCGAGGAAAAGAAAUCAACCGAGAUUCCCCCAGUAGCGGCGAGCGAACGGGGAGGAGCCCAGAGCCUGAAUCAGCAUGUGUGUUAGUGGAAGCGUCUGGAAAGGCGCGCGAUACAGGGUGACAGCCCCGUACACAAAAGCGCAUGUGCUGUGAGCUCGAUGAGUAGGGCGGGACACGUGGUAUCCUGUCUGAAUAUGGGGGGACCAUCCUCCAAGGCUAAAUACUCCUGACUGACCGAUAGUGAACCAGUACCGUGAGGGAAAGGCGAAAAGAACCCCGGCGAGGGGAGUGAAAAAGAACCUGAAACCGUGUACGUACAAGCAGUGGGAGCACAGGUUUACCUGUGUGACUGCGUACCUUUUGUAUAAUGGGUCAGCGACUUAUAUUCUGUAGCAAGGUUAACCGAAU